GAUGAACGCUGGCGGCGUGCCUAAUACAUGCAAGUCGAGCGAACAGACGAGGAGCUUGCUCCUCUUACGUUAGCGGCGGACGGGUGAGUAACACGUGGAUAACCUACCUAUAAGACUGGGAUAACUUCGGGAAACCGGAGCUAAUACCGGAUAAUAUAUUGAACCGCAUGGUUCAAUAGUGAAAGACGGUUUUGCUGUCACUUAUAGAUGGAUCCGCGCCGCAUUAGCUAGUUGGUAAGGUAACGGCUUACCAAGGCGACGAUGCGUAGCCGACCUGAGAGGGUGAUCAGCCACACUGGAACUGAGACACGGUCCAGACUCCUACGGGAGGCAGCAGUAGGGAAUAUUCCGCAAUGGGCGAAAGCCUGACGGAGCAACGCCGCGUGAGUGAUGAAGGUCUUCGGAUCGUAAAACUCUGUUAUUAGGGAAGAACAAAUGUGUAAGUAACUAUGCACGUCUUGACGGUACCUAAACAGAAAGCAACGGCUAACUACGUG
rnacentral:rRNA from 1 species